rnacentral:rRNA from 1 species
GUAGGGAAUCUUCGGCAAUGGACGAAAGUCUGACCGAGCAACGCCGCGUGAGUGAAGAAGGUUUUCGGAUCGUAAAACUCUGUUGGUAGAGAAGAACGUUGGUGAGAGUGGAAAGCUCAUCAAGUGACGGUAACUACCCAGAAAGGGACGGCUAACUACGUGCCAGCAGCCGCGGUAAUACGUAGGUGGCAAGCGUUAUCCGGAAUUAUUGGGCGUAAAGCGCGCGCAGGUGGUUUCUUAAGUCUGGUGUAAAAGGCAGUGGCUCAACCAUUGUAUGCAUUGGAAACUGGUAGACUUGAGUGCAGGAGAGGAGAGUGGAAUUCCAUGUGUAGCGGUGAAAUGCGUAGAUAUAUGGAGGAACACCGGUGGCGAAAGCGGCUCUCUGGCCUGUAACUGACACUGAGGCUCGAAAGCGUGGGGAGCAAACAGGAUUAGAAACCCUUGUAGUCC